CAGACAGAUUGUAAGCCAGGGCAUGGACCACAUCAGAGGCGGUGAAUCAGAUAGUAGUAAAGGGGGCGAGGCGCUGCGCUGCAAACAGAUUGAUUGAGGAGGGGGAUAAGGUGGUCAAGUGUAUACAACUACACUGACUUGCUUGGAAUUCAGGUUGUUAUGACAAUCACUGACUGACCGCCCCCUCGCUAUUUCGUGGCUAGCUGUAGAAUAAACAGCAGUCUUCCCCUCGAGUGGGUGGGUGGUAAGAAGCAACAACAGAUCAGGCUUGGAGAAAGAAAGGGUAUCUGAACACUCGCAUAUCGGGCAGCGAUUUAUUUGCCUGCCGAUGCAAUGGGCGCCAAACGAAUAAGCGCUCGCCAAAAGCCCAGGAAAUCACCUUGAGGUGACACAUCAUGCGGGUGCUUGAGAUAGGCACACCCGGCGGGGUCAUAACACUCUGAUUUCCUGUGAUCUAGUUACAGCGUAGGCAGCAGCAGUAUUCAAUACGAUACAAAUACGCCAGA
rnacentral:sRNA from 1 species